UGGCUAAGGUGUCUUGGCUAAAGUGUCUUGGCUAAGGUGUCUUGGCUAAUGUGUCUUGGCUAAUGUGUCUUGGCUAAGGUGUCUUGGCUAAUGUGUCUUGGGUAAGGUGUCUUGGCUAAGGUGUCUUGGCUAAGGUGUCUUAGCUAAUGUGUCUUGGGUAAGGUGUCUUGGCUAAGGUGUCUUGGCUAAUGUGUCUUGGCUAAUGUGUCUUGGCUAAUGUGUCUUGGCUAAGGUGUCUUGGCUAAGGUGUCUUGGCUAAGGUGUCUUGGCUAAUGUGUCUCGGCAAAAGUGUCUUGGCUAAGGUGUCUUGGCUAAUGUGUCUUGGCUAAGGUGUCUUGGCUAAUGUGUCUCGGCUAAGGUGUCUC